rnacentral:rRNA from 1 species
AGUGAACGCUGGCGGCAGGCCUAACACAUGCAAGUCGAACGGCAGCACAAGAGAGCUUGCUCUCUGGGUGGCGAGUGGCGGACGGGUGAGGAAUGCAUCGGAAUCUGCCCAUUUGUGGGGGAUAACCUCGGGAAACCGGGACUAAUACCGCGUACGACCUACGGGUGAAAGCAGGGGAUCUUCGGACCUUGCGCAGAUGGAUGAGCCGAUGCCGGAUUAGCUAGUUGGAGGGGCAAAGGCCCACCAAGGCGACGAUCCGUAGCUGGUCUGAGAGGAUGAUCAGCCACACUGGGACUGAGACACGGCCCAGACUCCUACGGGAGGCAGCAGUGGGGAAUAUUGGACAAUGGGCGCAAGCCUGAUCCAGCCAUGCCGCGUGUGUGAAGAAGGCCUUCGGGUUGUAAAGCACUUUUGUUGGGAAAGAAAAGCAGCCGGUUAAUACCCGGUUGUCAUGACGGUACCCAAAGAAUAAGCACCGGCUAACUUCGUG